rnacentral:rRNA from 1 species
CCCUUAGAUGUUCUGGGCUGCACGCGCGCUACACUGAUGCAGUCAACGAGUUUCCCUGGUUCGGAAGGAUCGGGUAAUCUUUUGAAUCUGCAUCGUGAUGGGGAUAGAUUAUUGCAAUUAUUAAUCUUCAACGAGGAACUCCUAGUAAGCGCAAGUCAUCACCUUGUGCUGAUUACGUCCCUGCCCUUUGUACACACCGCCCGUCGCUACUACCGAUGAGUGAUUCGGUGAAUUAUUCGGACCUGAGCGUAUCCUUCUGGUUGCGUUCGGGAAAGUCUUGUGAACCUGAUCACUUAGAGGAAGUAAAAGUCGUAACA